UACGUAGGGUGCAAGCGUUAUCCGGAAUUAUUGGGCGUAAAGAGCUCGUAGGCGGUUUGUCGCGUCUGCUGUGAAAACCCGAGGCUCAACCUCGGGCCUGCAGUGGGUACGGGCAGACUAGAGUGCGGUAGGGGAGAUUGGAAUUCCUGGUGUAGCGGUGGAAUGCGCAGAUAUCAGGAAGAACACCUAUGGCGAAGGCAGCUCUCUGGGACGGUACUGACGCUGAGACGCGAAGGCGUGGGGAGCGAACGGG
rnacentral:rRNA from 1 species